rnacentral:rRNA from 1 species
UGCAAGUCGAGCGAGAACUCUUUUUUGAUCUUUCGGGUGAAGAAAAGGGCGGACAGCGGCGAAAGGGAGAGUAACGCGUAGAUUACGUACCCAGGGGUUCGGAAUAGCGGGGGGAAACCGCCGGUAAUGCCGAAUAAUGUCUUCGGACCAAAAAUUUAUUGCCCUUGGAGCGGUUUGCGUACUAUUAGCUUGUUGGUGGGGUAAAAGCCUACCAAGGCUAAGAUGGUUAGCGGGUGUGAGAGCAUGGCCCGUCUCACUGGGACUGAGACACUGCCCAGACACCUACGGGUGGCUGCAGUCGAGAAUCUUCCGCAAUGGACGAAAGUCUGACGGAGCGACGCCGCGUGCGGGAUGAAGGCCUUCGGGUUGUAAACCGCUGUCGUAGGGGAGGAAAUUUUGACCGAUCCUAGGAGGAAGCACAGGCUAAGUUCGUGCCAGCAGCCGCGGUAAUACG